rnacentral:rRNA from 1 species
GACGUAGGUGGCGAGCGUUAUCCGGAUUUACUGGGCGUAAAGCGUUUGUAGGUGGCUUAGUAAGUUGGGCGUGAAAUCUCCGGGCUUAACUCGGAGAGGCCGUCCAAUACUGUUAGGCUGGAGGAUAUUUGGGGAAAGCGGAAUUCCUGGUGUAGUAGUGAAAUGCGUAGAUAUCAGGAGGAACACCCGUGGCGAAGGCGGCUUUCUAAGAUAUUCCUGACACUGAGAAACGACAGCUAGGGGAGCAAACAGG